AUAAUUUUGAGCUUAAUGUUACAUCUCUCAAAUAACUAGGUGCAUAUAUAAUUCUUUUGGUGGUAUUUAUUUUAGAUAGUUGAAGAUAUUUUUGCAUGUUGAAGAAUCAUUAGCAUAAAUUUUUUUGCCUUGAAGAUCCAAGAUAAAUAUCAAGCUUGCUCAAUUUCAGCCUAACAAAUGUCAAUUCUCUUGUUCUAAGCUUCUAUUUGCUUUUACUGAAUAGAUAUUUUACCCAUGAAGUAUUAUAUUUGAGCCUCCAUCUGAGUUGACAUUGCUAUAUCUUCCAUACAUCAAUUUUCUUAUUAGACUCUACUAUCUUAAUGCUUUCUUUUUUUUCUAGUUCAUUUCUUAAAAGUAACUUGUGAUAGCCAUAAAAUAGUAUCCA
rnacentral:lncRNA from 1 species